rnacentral:tRNA from 1 species
GGAGAGAUGGUAGAGUCGUCGAUUACAACGGUCUUGAAAACCGUCGUACCGAGAGGUACCGGGGGUUCGAAUCCCUCUCUCUCCG